rnacentral:rRNA from 1 species
CCCUUAGAUGUUCUGGGCCGCACGCGUGCUACACUGACCGGCGCAACAAGCUUUUUUCCUUGGCUCGACAGGCCUGGGUAAUCUUCGAACGCCGGUCGUGAUGGGGAUAGAUCCUUGCAAUUUUUGAUCUUCAACGAGGAAUUCCUAGUAAAUGCGAGUCAUCAUCUCGCGUUGAUUACGUCCCUGCCCUUUGUACACACCGCCCGUCGCACCUACCGAUUGAAUGGUCCGGUGAAGCCUCCGGAUUGGCGCGCACCUCGGUGCCGCCGAGAAGUUGGCUAAACCUUACCAUUUAGAGGAAGGUGAANUCGUANCA